CCUACGGGAGGCAGCAGUGGGGAAUUUUCCGCAAUGGGCGAAAGCCUGACGGAGCAACGCCGCGUGAGGGACGAAGGCCUCUGGGCUGUAAACCUCUUUUCUCAAGGAAGAAGAUAUGACGGUACUUGAGGAAUAAGCCACGGCUAAUUCCGUGCCAGCAGCCGCGGUAAUACGGGAGUGGCAAGCGUUAUCCGGAAUUAUUGGGCGUAAAGCGUCCGCAGGCGGCCUUUCAAGUCUGCUGUUAAAGCGUGGAGCUUAACUCCAUCAUGGCAGUGGAAACUGAUAGGCUUGAGUAUGGUAGGGGCAGAGGGAAUUCCCGGUGUAGCGGUGAAAUGCGUAGAUAUCGGGAAGAACACCAGUGGCGAAGGCGCUCUGCUGGGCCAUUACUGACGCUCAUGGACGAAAGCCAGGGGAGCGAAAGGGAUUAGAUACCCCUGUAGUCCUGGCCGUAAACGAUGAACACUAGGUGUCGGGGGAAUCGACCCCUUCGGUGUCGUAGCUAACGCGUUAAGUGUUCCGCCUGGGGAGUACGCACGCAAGUGUGAAACUCAAAGGAAUUGACGG
rnacentral:rRNA from 1 species